AACUUUACCUGGUAGGGGUAGAUACCAUGAUCAGGGAGGCUAAUUUCUCAGGACAAAGUUUAUCCAUUGCAUUCUAUAUAUACUGACCCAUACAAUUUCCCCAAAUGUGGGAAACUUCAUAAUUUGUGGGAGUGGAGGACUGUAUUUGCACUCUCCUCUA